CCUACGGGGGGCAGCAGUGGGGAAUAUUGGACAAUGGGCGAAACCCUGAUCCAGCCAUGCCGCGUGUGUGAAGAAGGCCUUCGGGUUGUAAAGCACUUUCAGUGGGGAAGAAAGCCUUGGGGCUAAUACCCUCGAGGAAGGACAUCACCCACAGAAGAAGCACCGGCUAACUCCGUGCCAGCAGCCGCGGUAAUACGGAGGGUGCGAGCGUUAAUCGGAAUUACUGGGCGUAAAGCGCGCGUAGGCGGUCUGAUAAGCCGGUUGUGAAAGCCCCGGGCUCAACCUGGGAACGGCAUCCGGAACUGUCAGGCUAGAGUGCAGGAGAGGAAGGUAGAAUUCCCGGUGUAGCGGUGAAAUGCGUAGAGAUCGGGAGGAAUACCAGUGGCGAAGGCGGCCUUCUGGACUGACACUGACGCUGAGGUGCGAAAGCGUGGGUAGCAAACAGGAUUAGAUACCCGAGUAGUC
rnacentral:rRNA from 1 species